CCUACGGGUGGCAGCAGUGAGGAAUAUUAGUCAAUGGACGAGAGUCUGAACCAGCCAAGUAGCGUGAAGUAUGACUGCCCUAUGGGUUGUAAGCUUCUUUUAUCAAGGAAUAAAACGAUGCACGUGUGCCUUUUUGCAUGUCCUUUAUGAAUAAGGAUCGGCUAACUCCGUACCCGCAGCCGCGGUAGUACGGAGGAUGCGAGCGUUAUCCGGAUUUAUUGGGUUUAAAGGUUACGUAGGCGGGAUGCAAAGUCAGCGUUAAAUAUGCGGUUCUAAACUGCGUCGAGCCGUUGAUACUGGCGUUCUUGAGUGGGCGAGAAGUCUGCGGAAUGCGUGGUGUAGCGGUGAAAUGCAUAGAGAUCACGAAGAACUCCGAGUGCGAAGGCAGCAUACCGGCG
rnacentral:rRNA from 1 species